rnacentral:rRNA from 1 species
GUGGGGAAUAUUGCGCAAUGGGCGAAAGCCUGACGCAGCAACGCCGCGUGAGCGAUGAAGGCCUUCGGGUCGUAAAGCUCUGUCGCAGGGAACGAAAGCCACUGCCUGAAUAGGGCAGUGGGAUGACGGUACUCUGCAAGAAAGCUCCGGCCAACUCCGUGCCAGCAGCCGCGGUAAGACGGAGGGAGCAAGCGUUGUUCGGAAUUACUGGGCGUAAAGGGCGCGCAGGCGGUCAUGCAAGUCGGGGGUGAAAUCCCACGGCUCAACCGUGGAACUGCCUUCGAAACUACAUGACUUGAGUACGGCAGAGGAGAGCGGAAUUCCCAGUGUAGCGGUGAAAUGCGUAGAUAUUGGGAGGAACACCGGUGGCGAAGGCGGCUCUCUGGGUCGAUACUGACGCUGAGGCGCGAAAGCCAGGGGAGCAAACGGGAUUAGAAACCCGUGUAGUCC